CCAUGAGGAACUGGCAGUGGGAUGGCCUGGGGGUAGGAGUGUGGCCUCUGGAGCUAGACCGCGUGGGUUCAGAUCCCAGCGGUGCCUCUGACUGGCCACAGGACCCUGGGCAGUCAGCU
ensembl:miRNA